AUUGAACGCUGGCGGCAUGCCUUACACAUGCAAGUCGAACGGCAGCGCGGACUUCGGUCUGGCGGCGAGUGGCGAACGGGUGAGUAAUACAUCGGAACGUACCCUGUUGUGGGGGAUAACUAGUCGAAAGAUUAGCUAAUACCGCAUACGACCUGAGGGUGAAAGUGGGGGACCGCAAGGCCUCACGCAGCAGGAGCGGCCGAUGUCUGAUUAGCUAGUUGGUGGGGUAAAGGCCCACCAAGGCGACGAUCAGUAGCUGGUCUGAGAGGACGAUCGGCCACAUGGGGACUGAGACACGGCCCAGACUCCUACGGGAGGCAGCAGUGGGGAAUUUUGGACAAUGGGGGCAAUCCUGAUCCAGCAAUGCCGCGUGUGUGAAGAAGGCCUUCGGGUUGUAAAGCACUUUUGUCCGGAAAGAAAUCGCGCUGGUUAAUACCUGGCGUGGAUGACGGUACCGGAAGAAUAAGCACCGGCUAACUACGUGCCAGCAGCCGCCGUAA
rnacentral:rRNA from 1 species